GACAGAGGGUGCUAGCGUUGUUCGGAAUUACUGGGCGUAAAGGGCGCGUAGGCGGUCCGCUAAGUUCGGCGUGAAAUCCCCUGGCUCAACCCGGGAACUGCGUCCGAUACUGGAAGGCUUGAAUCCGGGAGAGGGAUGCGGAAUUCCAGGUGUAGCGGUGAAAUGCGUAGAUAUCUGGAGGAACACCGGUGGCGAAGGCGGCAUCCUGGACCGGUAUUGACGCUGAGGCGCGAAAGCCAGGGGAGCAAACGGG
rnacentral:rRNA from 1 species